rnacentral:rRNA from 1 species
GAGAGUUAAAUAGUACGUGAAAUUGUUGAAAGGGAAACGAUUGAAGUCAGUCAUGCUAGUGAAAAAUCAGUUUGACGGGUUUUGAGUUCGGGAGUAGAGGCAGGGUCAAACCGUUUCUCUUUUGAACUUGGGAUUUGUUAGAUGUACUUUUUCUUUGGCAGGUCAGCGUCGAUUUCGGAGGUUGUAAAAUACUUGGGGGAAAGUAACUCUGCUUCGGGAGAGUAUUAUAGACCCUGGGGGAUGCAGCCUGCGGGAUCGAGGAUUGCAGCAAAUGCCUUUGGCUUGUCGCCUGAUCUCUGGAUGUUACCUCGCUUUUGACAACAUUCUUGCCACUUGUGGGUACUAAUGCCCAUUAGGUUAGAGCGAUCAAAAAUUUUGCUAAGGAUGCUGACGUAAUGGCUUUAAACGA